AUUGAACGCUGGCGGUAUGCUUAACACAUGCAAGUCGAACGGCAGCACGGGAGCUUGCUCCUGGUGGCGAGUGGCGGACGGGUGAGUAAUACGUAGGAAUCUAUCCAGUAGUUGGGGAUAACCCGGAGAAAUCCGGGCUAAUACCGAAUACGCACUACGGUGGAAAGAGGGGGAUCUUCGGACCUCUCGCUAUCGGGUGAGCCUACGCCGGAUUAGCUAGUUGGUGGGGUAAAGGCCUACCAAGGCGACGAUCCGUAGCUGGUCUGAGAGGACGAUCAGCCACACUGGGACUGAGACACGGCCCAG
rnacentral:rRNA from 1 species